GAUGAACGCUGGCGGCGUGCCUAAUACAUGCAAGUCGAGCGAACAGACGAGGAGCUUGCUCCUCUGACGUUAGCGGCGGACGGGUGAGUAACACGUGGAUAACCUACCUAUAAGACUGGGAUAACUUCGGGAAACCGGAGCUAAUACCGGAUAAUAUAUUGAACCGCAUGGUUCAAUAGUGAAAGACGGUUUUGCUGUCACUUAUAGAUGGAUACGGGCCGCAUUAGCUAGUUGGUAAGGUAACGGCUUACCAAGGCAACGAUGCGUAGCCGACCUGAGAGGGGGGUCGGCCACACUGGAACUGAGACACGGUCCAGACUCCUACGGGAGGCAGCAGUAGGGAAUCUUCCGCAAUGGGCGAAAGCCUGACGGAGCAACGCCGCGUGAGUGAUGAAGGUGUUCGGAUCGUAAAACUCUGUUAUUAGGGAAGAACAAAUUUGUAAGUAACUAUGCACGUCUUGACGGUACCUAAUCAGAAAGCCACGGCUAACUACGUG
rnacentral:rRNA from 1 species